rnacentral:rRNA from 1 species
UAGAGUUUGAUCCUGGCUCAGAACGAACGCUGGCGGCGUGCCUAACACAUGCAAGUCGAACGGAAGUAAGAAGCUUGCUUUUUACUUUAGUGGCGCACGGGUGAGUAACGCGUAGAUAAUCUGCCUGAUGGUUUGGGAUAACACUUCGAAAGGGGUGCUAAUACCGGAUAAGCCCACGGAGUCCUUGGAUUCUGCGGGAAAAGGAGGGGACCUUCGGGCCUUCCGCCAACAGAUGAGUCUGCGUACCAUUAGCUAGUUGGUAGGGUAAAGGCCUACCAAGGCGACGAUGGUUAGCUGGUCUGAGAGGAUGAUCAGCCACACUGGAACUGAGACACGGUCCAGACUCCUACGGGAGGCAGCAGUGGGGAAUUUUGCGCAAUGGGGGGAACCCUGACGCAGCAACGCCGCGUGAGUGAUGAAGGCCCUUGGGUCGUAAAGCUCUGACAGAGGGAAAGAAAUGUGGGUGGCUAAUAUCCAUUCCACUUGACGGUACCCUCAAAGGAAGCACCGGCUAACUCCGUGCCAGCAGCCGCGGUAAUA